AACGAACGCUGGCGGCAUGCCUAACACAUGCAAGUCGAACGAGAUCUUCGGGUCUAGUGGCGCACGGGUGCGUAACGCGUGGGAAUCUGCCCUUUGGUUCGGAAUAACAGUUGGAAACGACUGCUAAUACCGGAUGAUGACGAAAGUCCAAAGAUUUAUCGCCAGAGGAUGAGCCCGCGUAGGAUUAGCUAGUUGGUGUGGUAAAGGCGCACCAAGGCGACGAUCCUUAGCUGGUCUGAGAGGAUGAUCAGCCACAGUGGGACUGAGACACGCCCCAGACUCUUAGGGGAGGCAGCAGUGGGAAAUAUUGAAAAAGGGGCGAAAGCCUGAUCCAGCAAUGCCGCGUGAGUGAGGAAGGCUUUAGGGUUGUAAAGCUCUUUUCCCCGGGAUGAUAAUGACAGUACCGGGAGAAUAAGCUCCGGCUAACUCCGUGCCAGCCGCCGCCGUAA
rnacentral:rRNA from 1 species